GACAAACGCUGGCGGCAUGCCUAACACAUGCAAGUCGAACGGACAGAACAGGGAAGCUUUUCGGAGUGGAAUUGGAAAGUUAGUGGUGGAAGGGGGAGUAACGCGUGGACAACCUACCUUGUAAAGGGGAAUAACCUCGAGAAAUCGAAGCUAAUACCCCACAAUAACCUGGCUUCGCAUGAAGUAAGGCGGAAAGGCGGCGUUAGCGCUGUCGAUACAAGAUGGGUCCGCGACUGAUUAGCUAGUUGGUGGGGUAAAGGCUCACCAAGGCGACGAUCAGGAGCCGGCCGGAGUGGGUGAUCGGCCACCUUAGAACUGAGACACGGCCCUAACUCCUACGGGAGGCCCCAGUGGGGAAUCUUCCGCAAUGGGCGAAAGCCUGACGGAGCAAUGCCGCGUGAGUGAAGACGGCCUUCGGGUUGUAAAACUCUGUCCUUAUCGAAGAGAGGGUGUUGUAGUAAAUGAAGAUACUAUGACGGUAGUUGAUGAGGAAGCCCCGGCUAACUAUGUG
rnacentral:rRNA from 1 species